UACGUAGGGGGCAAGCGUUGUCCGGAUUUACUGGGCGUAAAGAGCGUGUAGGCGGCCAAACAGGUCCGUUGUGAAAACUGGAGGCUCAACCUCCAGACGUCGACGGAAACCGUAUGGCUAGAGUCCGGAAGAGGAGAGUGGAAGUUCCUGGUGUAGCGGUGAAAUGCGCAGAUAUCAGGAAGAACACCUAUGGCGAAGGCAGCUCUCUGGGACGGUACUGACGCUGAGACGCGAAAGCGUGGGAGCAAACAGG
rnacentral:rRNA from 1 species